AAAGCGUGCGCAGGCGGUUUUGUAAGUUUGUCGUGAAAGCCCCGGGCUCAACCUGGGAAUUGCGAUGAAGACUGCAAGGCUUGAAUCUGGCAGAGGGGGGUAGAAUUCCACGUGUAGCAGUGAAAUGCGUAGAGAUGUGGAGGAACACCGAUGGCGAAGGCAGCCCCCUGGGUCAAGAUUGACGCUCAUGCACGAAAGCGUGGGGAGCAAACAGGAUUAGAUACCCCGGU
rnacentral:rRNA from 1 species